rnacentral:rRNA from 1 species
AUUGAACGCUGGCGGCAUGCCUUACACAUGCAAGUCGAACGGUAACGGGUCCUUCGGGAUGCCGACGAGUGGCGAACGGGUGAGUAAUAUAUCGGAACGUGCCCAGUAGUGGGGGAUAACUGCUCGAAAGAGCAGCUAAUACCGCAUACGACCUGAGGGUGAAAGGGGGGGAUCGCAAGACCUCUCGCUAUUGGAGCGGCCGAUAUCAGAUUAGCUAGUUGGUGGGGUAAAGGACUACCAAGGCAACGAUCUGUAGUUGGUCUGAGAGGACGGACAGCCACACUGGGACUGAGACACGGCCCAGACUCCUACGGGAGGCAGCAGUGGGGAAUUUUGGACAAUGGGCGCAAGCCUGAUCCAGCAAUGCCGCGUGCAGGAAGAAGGCCUUCGGGUUGUAAACUGCUUUUGUCAGGGAAGAAAUCUUCUGGGCUAAUACCCCGGGAGGAUGACGGUACCUGAAGAAUAAGCACCGGCUAACUACGUGCCAGCCGCCGCGGUAA